UGGUGACUAUAGCAAGGAGGUCACACCUGUUCCCAUGCCGAACACAGAAGUUAAGCUCCUUAGCGUCGAUGGUAGUCGAACUAUGUCUAAAACGUCAAAAUA
rnacentral:rRNA from 1 species